GAGGUGUGCAAUGAACUCACAGUGAGGUAAGGCCUUGACUGGCCCAAUUAUUCUUUUGUCCAGAUCUGACUGUAUGGCUGCUGCCUUCAUUGAAUCUUUCUCCACUUGGUGUCAGAUGCAAGGACCAGAGUACUGAAUGCUUUCAUAACCAAAUGUGGAGAGGGAUAUCUGGGGCUCCCCAAUAGCCCCCCCUUGUAUCCUCUUCCCCCUUCAGCCAGAGAGCAUACUUGGGGACCUCACUUCAGUCAAACCUGUCCUCAGAUAUUAGGAGGGCCAUCCCAACACAUUUCAAUGAUGAGGACUGAGAGAAAACAGGGAUGGGGUCCAAACAAGAAAGUGGAAACCAGAAACUAGGUAAGGACAGGAAACAGGUUUUUUUGGGGGGAAUACCCUAUCCAAAGGGCAAAGAUCAAAGC
rnacentral:lncRNA from 1 species